rnacentral:rRNA from 1 species
AGAUUGAACGCUGGCGGCAUGCCUAACACAUGCAAGUCGAACGGGAGUAGCAAUACUCUAGUGGCGGACGGGUGAGGAAUACGUAGGAAUUUGCCCUUAAGUGGGGGAUAACCCGGGGAAACCCGGAUUAAUACCGCAUGACCUCGAAAGAGCAAAGUGGGGGAUCGCAAGACCUCACGCUUUUGGAGAAGCCUACGUCGGAUUAGCUAGUUGGUGAGGUAAUGGCUCACCAAGGCGACGAUCCGUAACUGGUCUGAGAGGAUGAUCAGUCACACCGGAACUGAGACACGGUCCGGACUCCUACGGGAGCAGCAGGUGGGGAAUAUUGGACAA